UGCCAGCCGCCGCGGUAAUACGGAAGGUCCUAGCGUUGUUCGGAAUUACUGGGCGUAAAGCGCAUGUAGGCGGAACAGAAAGUUAGAAGUGAAAUCCCUGGGCUCAACCUAGGAAUUGCUUUUAAAACUUCUGUUCUGGAAUUAAGGAGAGGAAAAUGGAAUAUCCAGUGUAGAGGUGAAAUUCGUAGAUAUUGGAUGGAACACCAGUGGCGAAGGCGAUUUUCUGGACUUAUAUUACGCUGAGAUGCGAAGGCAUGGGUAGCAAACGGGAUUAGAUA
rnacentral:rRNA from 1 species